GAUGAAGAACGUAGUGAAAUGCGAUAAGUAAUGCGAAUUGCAGAAUUCCGUGAGUCAUCGAAUCUUUGAACGCACAUUGCGCCCUUUGGCAUUCCGAAGGGCAUGCCUGUUCGAGCGUCAUUUAUCAACCCUCAAGCCCGGCUUGCGGUUGGGUCCGGCCGUGGGCGACCACAGCGGACCCGAAAGGUAAUGGCGGUGCCCGUGGGGCCCUGGACGCAGCGAGCUUCUCGGCACGCGUCCCGGCGGUCCCCGGCGCCGUCUCCACCAAUCCACCACGCAGAUUGACCUCGGAUCAGGUAGGGAUACCCGCUGAACUUAAGCAUAUCAAUAAGCGGAGGA
rnacentral:misc_RNA from 1 species